rnacentral:rRNA from 1 species
ACUCCUACGGGAGGCAGCAGUGGGGAAUAUUGCACAAUGGGGGAAACCCUGAUGCAGCAACGCCGCGUGAGUGAUGACGGUCUUCGGAUUGUAAAGCUCUGUCUUCAGGGACGAUAAUGACGGUACCUGAGGAGGAAGCCACGGCUAACUACGUGCCAGCAGCCGCGGUAAUACGUAGGUGGCAAGCGUUGUCCGGAUUUACUGGGCGUAAAGGGAGCGUAGGUGGAUAUUUAAGUGGGAUGUGAAAUACUCGGGCUUAACCUGAGUGCUGCAUUCCAAACUGAAUAUCUAGAGUGCAGGAGAGGAAAGUAGAAUUCCUAGUGUAGCGGUGAAAUGCGUAGAGAUUAGGAAGAAUACCAGUGGCGAAGGCGACUUUCUGGACUGUAACUGACACUGAGGCUCGAAAGCGUGGGGAGCAAACAGGAUUAGAUACCCUGGUAGUC